rnacentral:rRNA from 1 species
CCCCUAGAUGUUAUGGGCCGCACGCGCGCUACACUGAACAGUUCAACAAGUCUUAACCUUGGCCGAUAGGUCUGGGUAAUCUUUGAACGCUGUUCGUGAUUGGGAUAGACCUUUGCAAUUAUGGGUCUUCAACGAGGAAUUCCUAGUAAACGCAAGUCAUCAGCUUGCAUUGAUUACGUCCCUGCCCUUUGUACACACCGCCCGUCGCACCUACCGAUUGAAUGGUCCGGUGAAAUCUCGGGACGGCGGCUUGGUCGCUUGCGUCCGACUGCUGAAACUUGAUUAAACCAUAUCAUUUAGAGGAAGGUGAAGUCGUAACA